rnacentral:misc_RNA from 1 species
AGUCUGCUACUUGCAGAAAUUCCUUUUUCAAUCAUGAAGCAGGAUAUGAUGCAAACAAAUAAAGGUCAAGAAGCUUCAUGGCAGGAUUUUUUUAUUACUUUUUCUUUUUCUUUUUUAAGGGAACAGGUGGGGGAAGAUGGGAUAAAUGAGAUCAUCAUCUAUGAAGGAAUGAGAAGAAAGCCUAAAGAAGUAAUAACCAAGCAUGCAACAUGUAAAUGAAUAGACCUAUACCAUGAAAAAUGCAUUAAUGCAAGACAAAUAAA